rnacentral:snoRNA from 1 species
UUACUGUAUUAGUUUCCCAUGGCUACCGCAACAAAUAACACAAGUCUCAUGCCUUAAAAGAACAAAAAUUUCUAACCUUCCUUGGAUGUCUGAGUGA